AAGCGCUCUACCACUGAGCUAAAUCUCCAGCCUCAGUUGUCCUUUUUAUUAAAAAAAUUAUUUAUCUAUUGUAUAAGUGUUUCGCUGCUUGUAUACCCUCAUGCCAGAAGAGGGCAUCAGAUCCCAUUACAGAUGGUUGUGAGCCACCAUGUGCUUGCUGGGAAUUUCACUCUGGACCUCUGGAAGACCAGACAGUGUUCUUAACCACUCUCCAGCCCACUCAGUUUUCAUUUUUAAAAAGUAUCCUUUCACGGUGGCACGAGACACUGGCUACAGAUCUGUGAUUUCUACUCACUCUCCCAUCUCCAGCACUGACUAGGAAUCACUGACAACGUUAAUAACAUUUUUAGACUGAAAAAUGGAGCUAACGAGUUUUAGAAUUCCACUUGCAUCCCUGCCAUAUCAAUACCUACCUACUGAUAAGCUUGUCUACUUAGAGUCCAGUGGGAGCUCUUUAACAGUUUUACCACUAAUUAGGCAAAACCUUCCUAAAAUAGUUAGAAAGAACAGGCCCUUAUCUCCUACAUUUUGGGAACUUUUAAAGACCUUAAUAUGAAUGGUUGAUUUCAGUCUUCUUUUGGAACCUCAGGAGAAAUACUGCCUCGGAGUUUCUAUGAGUACUCCGUGAAGUUUACCAACUUGUUAUAGAUGCCUUCGCUCCCGUUGGCACUUGUCAUUUGGAGGAAUUGCUGCUGUACAUCUCUAUACACUCUUACAAUUUUUUGAUAUGGGGUAUUAGUCACCUCUGCAUUUCUGUGACCUAAACACGUGAUAGAAAUGACUUAAGAACUGAAGGAGGAUGUAGUUCAAUGGUAGAGCAUUUGGCCAGCAUGGGUGUUGGGGGAGAUACACUUAUGGGAAGAAAGCAUUAUCUUGGCUCACAGAUUCAGAGGGUUUCAGCCUACCAUAGCAGGGGACAUGUAGCAGAAUGGCUUCGUCCAUGGAGCAUGUGGUAACUUAUUGCAUGGCAGUGGACCAGAAAGCAGUCUGAAGCCAGAAGCAGAGCUCUAUCCCAGACCCGCUCCUAGUGACCGAAUUCUACCAGAACAAUGUGCUGGCCUGAAUUCCUUUAGCACUGAGGCUCCAGUCUCAGCACCAGAUGUCAGCCUGAACAGAUAAAAUCAGCUGCAGAGAAAAGCUGUACAGUCUCAUGGAGAGAUGAAUUGUAAGUACAAAUUAACUAAAU
ensembl:lncRNA